AUAAACGCUGAAGGCAUCUAAGCGUGAAACUCUCCCUAAGAUUAGAUCUCUCAUCCUUCGGGAGUAAGGCACGUCGUAGACUAUGACGUUGAUAGGUCGGAGGUGGAAGCGCGGUAACGCGUGUAGCUGACCGAUACUAAUAAGCCGAGGGCUUGACCUUA
rnacentral:rRNA from 1 species